CCUUGUGUACAUUAUUGCUCGUAAUGCUGGCUUGUCACCAGAACGACACCAACAUGGCCGAAAAUUGACAUGUAAACCCAGGGAUGAAUAAUGCCACCCAACAACAGAGAUGGGCUGGCAACACUGGCGAGACUUUAUACACAGAAAUUAUCUCCAACUAGGAUAUGAACAUCCAUUGUCAGACCCGACAUUGAAGAUUAAGGUAUGGGCAAGCGUGCUUCUCAUAGUGUGGUUCAUAUUGAUGACUGUCUGGGCUGCCGUCAUUUUCACUACGGAUGCAAUCACAGAAGAUUUCACGUCAAAAGGACGAUUCCAGGAGUUUUAUGCCAUUCCGCGUGUGCUACCAUUUACUAAAAAUGCAUUCUAUUCUCUAAAGGAUGCAAUAGAUGGUAUCGUCUUAGUGUAGCUAAAUCAAAUUAUAAUGCAGGCAUAAUAUGGUUUCCUAUUAAUUUUCUUCCAUUGUUUAUUUGCUGAUAUCACUUGUUCACAUACCUAAUGUAUUUAUUGAAAAUUUUAACCAGUGUAUGUAUUCACUGAUCUAUUUCAUUUAACGUUUGAAAAUAAAAACAUUUACAAAAGUAUCCUGCAUAUACAUUUAUGAUAUUAUUUUUGAGUUAAGUUAUAAAGGGAUUAGGUUUGAAUGCGAUUAGAAUCCUCACGCUCUUCUUGAUGCCAUCGACCGUUCAUUCUCUAAGGAAGGGAUCCUUCUAUGAAAUCUUUGUUCUGACAUCCUUCAUGAAAACCAGAAGUGAUGUUAUUAGUACCAUCUUGAAUAAAAACAUUCCUAGCCCGUUAAAACUACUGGUUUGAUUUUAAUUUUUAACGAUAAUAUUUUACUGCAACUUAAAAUGAAAUGUUGCAGUAAGGGUAACUAAGAAAAUGAUAGCUUACAAUAACCUAGGUGUGAAGUCUGAAACUAAGUAUAACACUAGGACAAUAGAUGGGCUACUUAGUAUUUUAUAUAUUUCUUAAUAGCAACAAAUGAUUUGUUUGUUCUCGGAACAAUUUUACAAAGAGGUAAGUCUUUAGGAAAAAUAUUCUUCGUUGUCUAAUUUGAAGUGAGAUUGAAAGAAAUGCACACAUAGAAAUAUACUAAUUAUCAAAAGUUUGUGGUAUCACUGUUUGAUAAAAACGAUUCUUCUGAAUUGUAUGAGCUCUUCCUGUUGUAAUAUCUAAUAUUUUGAGCAUUGAACUGUUUUUGUUCUCCAUUUUGGCAUGCGUUCCAAUACACAGUUUUGUAAUAUCGACCUUGGUCGACCUAUAAAGAGUAACAGAAACAAAACCCUUUCCAAUCCUGAAAUACUUCACCCAACGAUAAAGUGUUAUCAGUGUCGCUGCAGAAUAUUCAUCAAUAUAACGCACUUCAUAGAUCUAUUUAUAAUCAAAUAUUAUUUUUUCAAUCUAUAUUUUAUUACCUGUUUAUGUAUUUAUAAUAUGCUUUUCUUGACGUGUUACUUUAACUGUUUAACUAAAGGCUAUUGUUUG
rnacentral:misc_RNA from 1 species